rnacentral:misc_RNA from 1 species
UAUGAAGGGUGCAAGCGUUACUCGGAAUUACUGGGCGUAAAGCGUGCGUAGGUGGUUUGUUAAGUCAGAUGUGAAAGCCCUGGGCUCAACCUGGGAACUGCAUUUGAUACUGGGCUAGAGUGCGGUAGAGGGUAGCGGAAUUCCCGGUGUAGCGGUGAAAUGCGUAGAGAUCGGGAGGAAUACCAGUGGCGAAGGCGGCCUUCUGGACUGACACUGACGCUGAGGUGCGAAAGCGUGGGUAGCAAACAGG